GACGAACGCUGGCGGCAGGCCUAACACAUGCAAGUCGAGCGAGGACUUCGGUCCUAGCGGCGGACGGGUGAGUAACGCGUGGGAACGUGCCCUUUGCUUCGGAAUAGCCCUGGGAAACUGGGAGUAAUACCGGAUGAGCCCUUUGGGGGAAAGAUUUAUCGGCGAAGGAUCGGCCCGCGUUGGAUUAGGUAGUUGGUGGGGUAAUGGCCUACCAAGCCGACGAUCCAUAGCUGGUUUGAGAGGAUGAUCAGCCACACUGGGACUGAGACACGGCCCAGACUCCUACGGGAGGCAGCAGUGGGGAAUCUUAGACAAUGGGGGAAACCCUGAUCGAGCCAUGCCGCGUGAGCGAUGAAGGCCUUAGGGUUGUAAAGCUCUUUCAGCUGGGAAGAUAAUGACGGUACCAGCAGAAGAAGCCCCGGCUAACUCCGUG
rnacentral:rRNA from 1 species